rnacentral:rRNA from 1 species
GCAAGCGUUGUUCGGAAUUACUGGGCGUAAAGGGCGCGUAGGCGGCCUUCUAAGUCAGACGUGAAAUCCCCCGGCUUAACCUGGGAACUGCGUCUGAUACUGGGAGGCUAGAGUAUGGGAGAGGGAUGUGGAAUUCCAGGUGUAGCGGUGAAAUGCGUAGAUAUCUGGAGGAACACCGGUGGCGAAGGCGGCAUCCUGGACCAUUACUGACGCUGAUCCGCGAAAGCUAGGGGAGCAAACGGG